GACAGAGGUCCCAAGCGUUAGGCGGAAUCACUGGGCUUAAAGCGUGUGUAGGCGGACUUCUAAGUACCUUGUGAAAUCCCACGGCUCAACCGUGGAACUGCUUGGUAUACUGGUUGUCUUUGGCCAUCUAGGGGCUAGCGGAACAAACGGUGGAGCGGUGAAAUGCGUAGAUAUCGUUUGGAACGCCAAUGGUGAAAACAGCUAGCUGGGGAUGUGCCGACGCUGAGACACGAAAGCCAGGGGAGCGAACGGG
rnacentral:rRNA from 1 species